AUAUAUAUAUAUAUAUAACAGUUGCUUUAAUUUGGUGACAUUUUCAAAAGUAGUGCUUCAAACUAUUACUAACAGACAAUCCUGGUGCUUCAGAGAGAAUUGGCCACAUGCCUAUUUUGCGUUCCUGCUUCUUUAGUAUUUGAUCUGUGAAUUGAUUCGAUGAUUGUGAAAAGUGUUGUAACUUCCAUUGUCUUUAGUGGUGGGAGGAGUGCAAGACAACUUAGAGGCCCUAGUUUUAUAGGGCCAGAGUUUGCACGCUGUGAUGUGUGAUGAGGACUUGUGGAUUAGAGUAUCCUGGGGGAAUCUUUUAAGUUAUUCAUCUCAAUAUCAGCUUUAAAAUGUUUUCCAGCUUCCUCCUUUUAUUUCACAGGCUAGUCUUGAUUAAAAAUCAAAUAAAUUAACAUUCUGAGGAAAACUUUUUUUUUUAGUAAUUAAUUAAUCAAGAUUUGUUUUAAUGCUAUUUAAAGUUAAAAGUUUGAAAACAGAAGACAUCAAAAUCAAGUCAAACCUAAUCAACUUUAAUGAUGAUGGAUGUUUUGAAUGCUCACUUAACAGCUUGAAAAUAAGCAGUUUGUAGCUUUUCAUACACAUGUAGCAUUUGAAUUGGAUCGAGCUCUUUGCCUUAGUUGGACCUUUACAAACCCUACAGCGAGAGACAAAAUGAAAGAGACGAAGCGUUUUAGAAUUGAAAAAGGUUGAAUUCGGUCUUCCUUUUUCCAUUUAGAGGAACAUUUUACCUCUAAAUGUUUUUAGCAGGCAAAGCAGUUUGUAAUUCUAUAGUUUGUGGAUUUGGGUAAUUCUAAGAAAACAGAGAAUUUUAAAGCUGAGGGAGGCAUUGCACUGCUCCAAGGAAAAAAUUAAAAGUCAUGAAUUCCUGAAAAAAAAAAAGAAGUCUGAGAUUGAAGUGGUGAAUUUACAAGAGGGGGAAAAAAGUGGCGGUGGUGAGGAGGGACUUCAAAUUCAGACCAGAGACGACACCACCUGCUGGUUCAUGCCUGCAGUGGAUCACGUAAUCAAAGAAUUACCUUCUCAUUAUAAACCUCUGCACUUUGAAGACACUCACCCAUGAAUCAGGCCUGUUCAAAUGAAAACAACAUACAGAUUGAGAUGAUGUGAUAGUUGUUAUCACAGACCAGCAGUCUGUAAUAUGACCACUUCUUACCAAAACUUUUUUUUUUUCUCCUAAAAUAACUACUUUAAUCUCGGACAGCAUACUGUUUUUUUUUUUGUUUUUGUUUUUUUUAAUCCCAAAUUAGUUUUUAAUGUCAUGAUUUUAAGCUUUGUUUUGUUUUUGGUUUUGUUUUGUUUUUUUCUUCAAAAUGAUAAGUCUUCCACAGCUUCAUAUUCUUAAAUUUUACCUUACCUAGAAUUGCAUUGCGAAAGUGAAAGUGUGUGUGUGUGUGUGUGUGUGUGUGUGUUUGUGUGUGUGUGUGUGCUGAGGUUGGUGUAGUUUGGCAUCAAUCAUAUGAAAUUUAUAGCAGCAGGUAGUGUGGUUUCUCAUUUUUAGAGCGCUCCUUUGAAUGAUUCAGGUUACACACUUGAAAGACUGUUGCGGUCACUGAUGGGGGCAUUGGAUUCAGGCGGUGUUAGUCUAAUAAAGCACAGCACUUUCUUUCCCAACACCCCCAGCGUGUGCGAGGUCCAUCCUGCUUUGUCUGUACCCCUGGGCUCACAGUUUCCACGUGCAUGGUGAGAUCAUCUGUCAUUAGCCUUCAGGUAGCCUUAUUUCCACCCUCAGGCUUCAGGCAUGCUUUGUUAGCAGCUUGAGGCCGGCAGAGAUGAUCCACCGCACUUGCUAAAAUGAAUACUCUGGACUGCACCAGAUUGAGCUGGGGGGGUCACGUGGCCUGUUUUUAAAUAGUCAAGUGUGACCUCAGCUAGGAUAACAACUACUGAGAAAAUGCUAGCAUUAAAAACUAAUGAAUGUAUCAAGAUGGAAAGUUGGUCUAGUGGCCUAUUUACAGUUUUGCCUCAGAUUGUUUUUCCUGAUGCAGGAUGACGUUUUGAUCUUGUUCUGGGUCGAUCGCAUAUUAAAAUCUUGGGAACAUCGUUGAAUAGAUAUGUAAAUAUUAACUGCUCCUUUUUUUUUUUUUUUGGUCUUUUUUUGUUUUGUCUUUUUGUCUAGAAGCCUCCAUAUCCAGAUAAACCGCUGUCACUCCCCUGUACAUGAAACAAAGUUGUAAAUGGUGUCAAUAACAAAGUUUCUUUUUUAAGAGAGGUUUUAAAAAGAGGUUUAUGGUAACACUAUUUUCUUUUCCCUGUUUAAUUUCUGAUGUAUAUGAACGAUGUGUAAUAUAGAAAAUGCCACCUUAAUAAAUUAAAUAAAAAAUGUG